CCCGAUCGGAGGCGGGCAGACACGACAGAUCGCCUCCGCAAUGCGAGGAAAACAACAUGGAACACAACAGAACAGAACAGAAGAGAACAGCACAGAAGAGGUGAUUUCAGUUUCCAAGAGGAUGAGGCAGCACCGCACCGCAGCAGCUAGCGCGGGUGGGAUGUCAGGCAUGGCGCCACGCCACGCCGCGCCGCCCGCCUCCCUCCAUUAUGUCAGGCGUGAGCCCAUCCGUUGUUGGCCUCUGCCUAGGUCUUCUCCCCGCAGCUCGCUCUCUCACGAAGCCGGCUACAGAGGGGCGAUGGAGGUGGACGAGCUGCUGAGGAAGAUACGGGAGCUGGAGCAGGGGCAGGCCGAGCUCGUGCGGGAGAUUGGCAGGCUCGCACCGGGGCCCCGCCGCCGCCCCCGCCCCGCGUUCUCGUCGCGGCGCGCCGUCGCCGCGCUCCCGGACCCGUCGCCGCGGCCGCUUCGCGACAACCGCGCCAGGCUCUCCGACAGGCACUGCCACUGGAUACUGCAGUCGCUGGGCCAGGCCGUGCACAUCAUCGCGCCCGACGGCAAGCUCCUCUACUGGAACCGGUAUGCUGAGCAUAUGUAUGGCUAUUCUGCAUCAGAAGCAAUUGGCCAGGAUGCCAUUGAGUUAAUUGUUCAUCCUACAGACUAUGAUGCUGCAACCGUCGUUAUCCAGAAUAUAUUUAUGGGCAAGUGUUUUAGAGGAAAGUUUCCUGUUAAAAACAAGUCAGGAGAGAGGUUCUUUAUUGUUGUCCAUAACACUCCUUUAUAUGAUGACGAUGGUAGCUUGAUUGGCCUCAUAUGUGUCUCGCUUGAUGUACGGACACUGCAGGAGAUAUUUAGUCCUUCAACCACAGAGAAAUCCUAUCAAAGUUCAUCAAAGCCCCAUUUUCAUGUUAACAACCGGCCUAAAAGUGGUUCACAAAACAAAGGUUCUUUUGACUCCCAGCAACCUCUUCAAUCUGCUAUCACCUCCAGGAUAACAACUUUUGCCACCAAGCUUACAAGUAGAGUCCGUUCUCGGAUAAGGACGGGUCAGAAUUGUGAGAGACGGUGUGCUAGUGGCUGUGAGGAUCAGUAUUCUGAACAUGAUGUCAGGGCGGACCUCACAUCAAGUGAGGCAAGCACCCUGAAUGGGGAUGUACGGUAUGGCGCUUUUGUUGCUGAAGAGAAAUCCCCUGGGGAGUUGAGCAAAACAAAUAUCGAUGAUUCAGGAGAAGGAAAAGUAGGGUUUCACAAAAUGUUUAGUUCAAAGGCCGAGGUAUUGCUGGCCAAGAAGGGGAUAUCCUGGCCUCGGAAAGGGCGUGAAAAUGAUGGGGGUUCUGGGAAGAGUAACAUACCCUCAACACAUUUACAUGAUAAGCAAGCGAAUGACCAGAGUCAUCAGAGAGUUCCAGUUGUACAGUCUAUCAUAAUUCCAGACUGCCAAGACACUAAAUACGCCCACUCAAGCAAAUAUGAGUUCUCAGGUUCCUGGUGGACUUUUAACAACACCAGUAGUAUCAGCAGCACAAGUACUAUUGGCAGUCCUAUCGAGAGAGUGGAUUAUGAAGCGGACUGCUUAGAUUAUGAGAUUCUGUGGAAAGAUCUGCUAAUUGGAGAACAAGUAGGCCAAGGUUCUUGUGGAACAGUGUAUCAUGCUUUGUGGUAUGGUUCGGAUGUGGCAGUUAAAUUAUUCUCCAAGCAGGAAUAUUCAGAAGAAAUGAUAAAUACGUUCAGACAAGAGGUAUCACUGAUGAAGAAACUCCGACAUCCCAGUAUAAUACUUUUCAUGGGUGCAGUUGCAUCAGAGGAACGACUUUGUAUUGUUACAGAAUUCCUCCCACGAGGGAGUUUGUUUCAGUUGCUUCAAAAGGACACUGGCAAGUUGGAUCCAAGACGUAAACUUAACAUGGCCAUAGACAUUGCAAGGGGCAUGAAUUAUCUUCACAGUUCCAUCCCCACUAUUGUGCACCGUGAUUUAAAAUCGUCAAACCUGUUGGUUGAUAAGAAUUGGACUGUAAAGACUUUGGUCUUUCGCGCCUCAAACUUGAAACAUUUCUGACAACAAAAGGUGGAAAAGGAACACCGCAGUGGAUGGCUCCAGAAGUGUUACGCAGUGAACCUUCAAAUGAAAAGUCUGAUGUAUACAGCUAUGGAGUGGUCCUGUGGGAGCUUGUUACUCAUAAGAUACCAUGGGAUACUCUCAAUCCAAUGCAGGUGUAUUUUGCUAUUUAUUAUGUAUGUUUGGUUAGGUAAUUAAUAUUCUGAUUUUUCUAUCAAUAUCUGGUGCUAACUCUGUGGUUUUGACUUCAGUGGUGCUGUUUCGCACAAUAGGUGAUAAAGAGUGCCAGCUUGAUCUGUUUUAAAAAUAUACGUACUUAGAUACAAGCAGUGAUAAUAACAAAUUUAAUGUUUCGUCACUUCAUUAUUUCCUCCAUUCUCUUUUCAGUCUAGCGGCAAGAUUAACACUGAGAUGCUUUCGUCAGGGCUUGGUUUUCUGUUGAAGAAUUGCAUGAGAGGUUCUUAAAAGUUGUACUCUCCCAAUGCCUAGGGCGUCAUUUUCCCUUUUCACCCUUAGAAACAAGUCUUCAGAUAUCCCUUUUCUGGGUGUCCUAGAACCAACAUUCCCUUGAAAAGUACGAGUAGCUUACUGGUGAAUGGUGAAUCUUUACGAAAAACUGGAAUCAUCACCGUUGCAGUUUAAGAAAAGAAAAAACACCUGCUUGCUUAUAUAAGCUUGUUAGAAGAUGAGAAAAUCUCUUAACGAUGUGAUCCCUACGUGGCAGAUUAUCGCAGCUGUGGGUUUCAUGGAUCAUAGACUGGAGAUUCCAAGCAACAUGGACCCUCAGUGGGCAUCGAUCAUCGAGAGUUGCUGGGACAGCGACCCGCAGCGUCGCCCUUCGUUCCAAGAGCUCCUGGAGAGGCUCCAGGACCUGCAGAAGCAGUACAUCGUGCAGGCUCGGACACGGCGUGAAGCUGCUGGGAAAGGUGCUGGAAAGAUGAGCGCUGAAGAUUGCUAGCUUCGUUUCCUGAGGGGGGUGCACUGAAGCUGUCGUUUUCAGUAUGGUUGGUUCGUUUGGCCGAGAGCUGAGAAGGUCGAGGUAUGUUUUCCAUGUCACUUCCCAUAGGAGGAGCGAUGGCCGGCCCAAGCAGGGAUGUACUGUGUGUACGUACUCUCUUUUUUUCUUUUUUUUGCGGGGUGUACUUGUGUAGUACUCAAAUCGUUAGCUGAAGCUUUGGGGUUGCAGUUUGUUUGUUUGUUUCAAGGGAGGGAGGGUGGAGGACACGUGUGACAUGAGAUGAGACUUCCAGUAACGCAUAUAGUUUGUCUCAACCCGUAAUGGGCUAUGUACUAUGUGAAAUGUUGUUUUUCUUUUCUAGGGAGCAUUUUACUGAAACUCAAUGUUGCAUGAAGCUGACACACAUGGCCAGGGGGGAUCAAAACAGCCUGAAGACGAGUCAUGAGAGUAUGUAGGGCCUCUUCGUUUCGCAGGAUUAGAAAAACUGACGGUUUUCUUCUAAAACAUUUGAGCUGAUGGAAAAUUCCCCGUGAAGACACGGCGCGAAAAAAUGUU